GAACCAUGUGCCAGAGACACCGGAUGCACUUGCCGAGCACACCGCAACCUCCUGCUCGACUCGCCAGAACCACCUGCUGGAGAUGCCAAAAUCACCUGCUGGCUUGGCCAGAACCACGUGGCAGACUCUAUGGAAUGACAAGCCGGGCAUGCCGGAACCACCUCCCAGACCUGCCGGAAUCAUGUGCUGGACACGCUGGAACCACCUACUGGACAGACCGGAACCACAUACCGGACCUGCCUGAACCACCAGCCGAGCAUGCCGGACCCACCUGCUCGACUCGCAGGACCCACCUACCGGACAUGCCAAAAUCAGCUGCUGGCUAUGCCAGAAACAAUUGCCGGACAAUCCGGAAUCACCUGCCUGGCAUGCCGGAACCACCUCUCAAAUGUACCAGAACCACGUGCAAGAGACGCUGGAAGCACCUGCCAAGCAUGCCGGAACCACCUGAUCCACUCCCCAGAACCACCUGCCGGACCCGCCUGAACCACCUGCCGGCUAAGUGGGAACCACUUGGCGGACACUCCGGAAUCACCUGCCGUGCAUGCCGGAACCACCCCUCAGACGUGCCUGAAAAACGUGCCGGACACGCCAGAACCACCUCCUGGACUGACCGGAACCACCUUCCGGACAUGCCUGAACCACCUUAAGAGCACGCUGGAACCACCUUCUCGACUUGCUGGAACCAUCUGCCGGAUACGCCAAAAUCACCUGCCGGCUAUGCCAGAACCACUUGGCCGACACUCCGGAAUAACCUGCCGUUCAUGCCGGAACCGCCCCUCAGAUGUGCCAGAACCACGUGCUGGAUGCCCCAGACCACUUCCGUGAAAGACCGGAAGCACGUGCUGAGCAUGCCGGAAACACCUGCUCGACUCCCGGGAACCGCCUCCGGGGAAACUGUCAUAGAAAUGCAGGUCAAACGGCCUUUCUUGCCAGCCCUUAACUCGCCACUUUAGAACUUCUGCUUCUGCCACAAUGGCACCCUGCCAAUCCGGCUCAGACGAAAUGCCUACAUCUUCCCCUGAAGCAACUGGGCUGAGUCCCAAAUGAUUGAGCGUCCACGUGCUUAGGAGGCGAUAGACUGCACGCCUUUUUCCAACCACCAUUGUGCACUGCUGGAGAGAGUGUCGGAAAGCAGCUAUGUCCGAAAGACCCCUUUGCUCUCAGCCGUGCCCUCCAUUGCUCUAGACGUGGAAGGCACAAGGCACUGGCUCUGGAUCCACCCCUCAAUGGGAGACAAACCACAUCUUGUCCUGCUUCCAGCUCUUUGGGAAGCUGAGAAAAAACUCCCUUUCCACAGUGCUCUUACAGCGUCCUGGGAACAUCUCAUACAAAGGAGGCUGAACGCCGUUUCUUUUCAGCACUUCACUCGCCGGUCUGAAACAUCUGCAUCCUGAACAUUUCCAUCUAGCCAACCCAGGUCAGAAGAAAUGCCAACAUCUUCCCCAUGAGCAAUGGGGAUGAGGCCCAGAUGAUUGUGCCUCCACAUGCUUAGCAGGAGCAGACAAUAG
rnacentral:lncRNA from 1 species